UGAAGAAACCAGGAUGGAGCAGCACCACCAUUGGCGAGGAGGUGAAGCAAGUGAACAGCUUCCUAUCCAGGAUAGCUAUCUGCACAAAGUACAUGUCCAAAGCAGCACGGACAGACAUGUUAACACUACAAGCCAUGGGGUGGAACAAUGGAAAAAUGCAGAACAUGGACAAAGCAUUAUCUCAAAGAUACAUGAAGACAUUACAGAAGAUUAGGGAUGAGACUGACAGUCUUAAACAUGAAGACAGAG